UUGAAAGGGAAACGAUUGAAGUCAGUCGUACCAGCGGGAAAUCAACCUUUCGAGUGGGGGUUUUGGAGUUUUGAAGAGUGUCAAAACCUUUGAGAUUUCAAAAUUUUCGCUCUUUUGGUGUACUUUCUCGUGGGUAGGUUAACAUCGAUUUUGAUCAUCAUAAAAAGAUUGGAGGAAUGUAGCUUCGAUCUUGUAUUGAAGUGUUAUAGCCUUUGUCAAAUGGGAAGAUGAGGAGCGAGGAUUGUUACAAAUAACCCUUUUGAGCCUUUGGUUUCCAAAUGACUCUGCUAUCGCUUGGUAUCGAAAGGGUGCUUAUGGUAUUGAGGUAUACGGUCAAAAGGUUAAAACGGAUUACAUUCUCUUAAGGAUGUUGACGUA
rnacentral:rRNA from 1 species